rfam:TPA: Bos taurus chromosome 5, whole genome shotgun sequence.
ACCCUGGUGGUCCAGUGGUUGGACUCAGGGCUUCAAAUGCUGUGACCCCGGGUUCAAUUCCUGGUUGGAGAA